UUCUCCUCCGCCGAGUUUGUCCAUUCACAUUUGGCAUACUCGCUGUGUGACGAACAGGUCUGUAAAAGGUUUGCUCAGAGCAGGUGUCCUUAAGAAGUUAGUUUUCUGUGAGUCGAUGAGUUGUAGGAGUUAGCUUUCUAGUAGCACACUGAUGUAGAGCAGUGUUUUUUUUUAUGACAGUCUUAAAGGGGGAGUGUGGAUCUUUGAGCACCCGUUCACUAAUCCCUAACCCCCUUGACUGCAAAGCGCGAUUCUCAAACCUAGCCAUUCAUAAUGGUACUUUACCACAUUAAACCAUAAAAAGAUAGGUCAUAGUUAAGGAAGAGGAAGGUUUGUAAAGUAAGUGGAUGUGGGCAAGAAUAAAAGCGGCUGUGUGGAUAUUUUGAAAAAGUCUCUCUGGCUCAUUGGAACGUUCUCAGCUACAUUUUGGGCACAAGCUUUGCGCUUUCAUUCACAGGCACAUUUAGAAAUGAUCAAAACUAUUUCAAACACAAAACCAAAACACAAUAUUUAGUCCUUUAUAUGUUCAUAGUUUUUAGCUGUUUAUUUUACACCAUUGCAGUUGCAAGACAAGUAAAAUGAUUUUAAAACAUAAAGCAGUGUUAAUUCUGAUAUGAUCAUGGCUUGGGGAACUAUCUCGCCCGACUCCAGCGACGCACGGCUGGCACCUUCCCGUGCCCGUUGUAGUGCUGUGCAGUGAUCAUAUUACAAUAUGAUUCGUAGUAUUGUAUAAAACCAUCUUUCAUGCUACAUAGCCCUAUACCGUGGUCGGGACCCAGAAGCAGUCCCAUACGGACCCACACUGAUAGUCAGAAAAAGAGAGGUUAUGAUUCGAGAUAGACGGGGCGCUUCUAUUUUAAGCAGCGCUGCAUUACAGGCCUGACGGUAGUGACCGAAUGUACCGACCAAUCAUAUGCGAGUUCAGCCAUCCCACGUGACCUUACUCAGCCAAUGAAGUCUGAAUCUCAGGCGGUAAUCAUUGAUUGCACGCAUACCAGACAGAAAGACGAGGAGAUACGGAGAAAGAGACUCGGCGAGUACAUUGAAGAUGGAGAAAGUUCAGAAAAUGGCAGACAAAGCAGGAGAACAUUUGGAGAAAUUGAAAUGGAACGGCCAGAAUUUAUAUAUUGUUUUACUUCACAGUGAGAAGUUCCCACUGGGAGCGUUUACGACAAGUGCGUACAUGAAUUACACCAUCAUGAGUCAAGGUUUUGAACCAGCAUAACCUCUAACUGAUCAACUGUGAGGCAUUUCAGAAAAGUACAACCCAUUCAACAAAACAUAAAUAAUGAGAUGGUCCUUUUUCAGUUAUGUUAUAUAUAUAAACCAUUUGACAUGAUAAAACAGUCCCAAAUAACGAUUUUAACAAUGCUAUAUUUAUCUUUUAGCUGAAACAUGAAUUAAUAAAUAUUAAGUCAAUUGGGUUAGUUCCACACACAUUGCCUUUUAGUUGAUAGGUUUGAUAUUGAUAAUUGAGUCAAAUGUUCACUUUAGUCUAUGCUUCGGGCUGCUAAGAAAACGGAUGUUCCUAAUUUGGACACGCUUUCUUUCAACCAUGCAAACUUUUUUGACCCAGCCCCCUAAAAGAAUCGGAAUUGAGAAUCGCUUGGAACCGGAAUCGCUCAAAUUCAAGUGAUGCCCGACCCUACAUACAUGGUUGGUUUUCAGAGAUCUGUCCUCGCUGUGCAGCUAUUGUUGUCUCUAUAUACAAUUUUUAAAUGACAGGCCCUAUUUUUACUGUUCAUAGGUAGUUACUGUUGUGAGAUUUGCUUUACGUCUAUCCAAGCCAAACUUCUUCUCUGCGUGGUAACGGGGUCACAGUCAAAUUGCGGUGAAAAGCCUCCUCUACCAUCGAAGCACUUCAUCUGGUGUUUGUGUUAGCGGUUCGCGCUGCUUGUCCUCGUGAUAUUGCUCACGGUUGCUUAUUUACUGCAAUGGAGGCGAAGAUUAGUGACGACUCAAUCGCCAAAUGCCAGUCCCUCUGUGGCUUUUAUUCCCCCUCGCCAUUCUUGUCCUUCCUCCGCGACGUCCACAGAGUCACGGUCGAGAACGGUACCAUUGAAGGCACCGUUGUCGGCCGUGACGGUGUGCACAUCGCAGGGUUUUCUUUUUAUUUCUUUAUUCCCUCCUAACUUCAUUUCCCUCCCCGCUCUCUCACCUGAGCGCUGCCAUCGGUACGCAGCUCGAAGAGGCAUCGUAUCUGGCUUUUGUUCACGCGCAGGGCCGCAGUUAGCUGGUGCGGCGCAUAUUGCUUACGCAUUUUUAUACUGGGGCAGGUAUGAUGACGCCAUCAAGAAGCGUUAUUGCGAUUGGACGGUAGAGUCCAUAUCUCUACCCUCUACAGAGUAUACCGUUUGUACUGUGCACCGCUACAAUGUAGCAUCUCUUUAAUUAAGACAACAAACAAACAGUUAAUGUCAGCAGAAUGUCAAAAUGGCUGCAAAGCUCGAAUUAAGCGGUCUCAUCGCAGUUGGCGAGUUAAAAUUUGCAUUUUGCACCUCAAAAAACGCAUUGAAAAGCAAAACUGUGACUCACGCUUUUAUCACGGAGACGGUCGCGGAGACAGUCGCAAGCAGGGGCAUAUGUGACACCACGCGCUUAUGUUACCGAUGCGUGGGAAGUACAAUGCGGACGUAAGGAGCGGGAAAACGGCGGGAAGAUGCGACGUGACGCUGAAUUGAGAAGAGGGGGAAAAAAGACUGGUGAAAGUGUGGCAGCAUUUCAUCGUGAAAUGAAAGGCGAGCAGCCGUCUGUUGGAACACGGAGCUUUUUCUCCGCCGAAGAGGCCGUGCCGUGGGACCUGAGAGACGAAAGAUUAACAAAGCGGCAGGCCCAGACCAUGUGUCCCCAUCCUGCCUCUAAGUCUGCACGGACCAGCUCGCUCCAGUCUUCACUCAGAUCUUCAAUAGAUCUCUGGAACUGUGCGAAGUUCCAUCCUGUUUCAAACGCUCCACCAUCAUUCCAGUCCCCAAGAAACCUGCAAUCUCGGGUCUAAAUGACUACAGGCCUGUCGCCUUGACAUCUGUGGUCAUGAAGUCCUUCGAACGUCUCGUGCUGGACCACCUCAAGAGCGUGACAGGUCCCCCUGCUGGACCCCCUGCAGUUUGCCUACCUCGCAAACAGGUCUACGGAUGGUGCAGUCAACAUGGGACUGCACUUCAUCCUAGAACACCUCGACAGUGCAGGGACCCACGCGAGGAUCCUGUUCGUGGACUUCAGCUCAGCGUUCAACACCAUCAUCCCUGAACUCCUGUCCUCCAAGCUUCUCCAGCUCAGCGUCUCACCUGCCAUCUACCAGUGGAUUUUUACAGCUUCCUGAAGGCCAGGACACAGCAGGUGAGUCUGGGGGAGGCCACCUCAUCCACACGCUGCAUCAGCACUGAGGCGACCCAAGGUUGUGUCCUCUCUCUCCGCUACUCUUCUCUCUCUACACGAACGACUGCACUUCAACGCACCCGGCUGUCAAUCUCCUGAAGUUUGCAGAUGACAUCACUCAAGGUCGGUGACGAGUCUGCAUAUCGACAGGAAGCGGAGCGGCUGGCGCCUUGGUGCGGCCGACACAACCUGGAGCUGAACACGCUCAAGACUGUAGAGAUGAUUGUGGACUUCAGGAGGCAUCCUUCGCCGCAGCAGCCCCUCACGCUGUCCAGCUGCCUUGUGUCAACCGUCGAGACCUUCAACUUCCUGGGAAUUACGGUCUCCCAGGACCUGAAGUGGGCGAUCAACAUCAAGUCCUCAAAAAGGCCCAGCAGAGGAUGUACUUCCUGCGGCUUCUGAGGAAGCACGGCCUGCCACGGGAGCUGCUGAGGCAGUUCUACACAGCGGUCAUCGAAUCGGUCCUGUGUUCUUCCAUCACAGUCUAGUUUGGCGCGGCUACAAAAAAGGACAAACUCCGACUGCAACGGACAAUCAAAACUGCUGGAAGGAUUGUAGGUACCCCCCUACCGACCCUUGAGGACUUGCACGCUGCCAGAACUAAGACAAGAGCGUGCAAAAUCCUCUCGGUCCCUCCGCACCCCGGUCACCGGCUCUUCCGGCUCCUUCCCUCAGGUGCGGUGUGUAGUGUUGCAACUGCGAGCCAGAUUGGAACGUAGCCUCACUUCACUCCUCCCUUCCCCUCCCCUCUGGCCGAACCCACGCCCCUCGCAGGCGUGCGCGCGCAAUUCACCAGCUGGCUUUACCGCGGUCAUCUUGUAGCGGCUGCUUUGCCAUUUUCAUCACGUCUUGUUCACCGUUGCCGAGGGGAGAGCGAGGCGACUGGUGACCCCGGCCGACUAAAUCUCUGGGAGGUGAAAGUUCACAGACUGAGUUUUGAGUCAUCACAUAUUGUGAUAAAGACAUUUCUGUGACGUGACCCCAGUUCCAUGUUUUGACGUUUGGGGAAGCUCCGACGACUCUUCAGCCCCUGAUCAACGGAAUGGUGUCUGCCAUAACCGCAAACACAUGACAAACCUCCUGGACACCAUCUUGAUUGAGGGAGUUUUACACAGAGCCAGACGACUGUGGAACGAAAUCCGGACAGCUGAUGACCUUCGUGACCCAGGAGUGAACAACGAACGAUUCUGCGCCAAUAUGUAAUGUGGAAAAUCCCAAAGGAAAUGAUUUGGAUUCAGAUAGAGUGCCAGACGUGGCCCCCUGCUUAAGCCAGUACGUGUCCAGGCCCGUCUGAAGUUUGCUAGGGAGCAUUUGGAUGAUCUAGAAGAGGAUUGGGAGAAUGUCAUAUGGUCAGAUGAAACCAAAAUAGAACUUUUUGGUCAAAACUCAACUUGUCGUGUUUGGAGGAGAAAGAAUGCUGAGUUGCAUCCAAAGAACACCAUACCUACUGUGAAGCAUGGGGGUGGAAACAUCAUGCUUUGGGGCUGUUUUUCUGCCAAGGGACGAGGACGACUGAUCCGUGGAAAGGAAAGAAUGAAUGGGGCCGUGUAUGGUGAGAUUUGGAGUGAAAACUUCCUUCCAUCAGCAAGGAAGGGCAUUGAAGAUGAAACAUGGCCGAGUCUUUCAGCAUGACAAUGGUCCCAAACGCAGCGCCCGUGCAACGGAGGAGUGGCUUCGUAGGAAGCGUUUCAAGGUCCCGAAGUGGCCUAGCCAAUCUUCAGAUCUUUGGAGGGAGUUGAAAGUCUGUGUUUCCCAGCGACAGCCCCAAAACAUCACUGCUCUCGAGGAGAUCUGCAUGGAGAAAUGGGCCAAAAUACCAGCAACAGUGUGUGAAAAUCUUGUGAAGAGUUAAAGAAAAUGUGUCAUUGCCAACAAAGGCUAUAUCACAAAGUAUUGAGAUGAACUUUUGUUAAUGACCAAAUACUUAUUUUCCACCAUAGUUUGCUAAUAAAGGCUUUAAAAAUCAGACAA